CACCUCCCACGACACUGCUGGAUCUGUGCCGCAAGGUAAGGAAAGGGCCACUUGGCUUCAGCACCGGGCCUCUCUGCAUCGGAAACUGGAGCGGCAUGACUUUUGUUAGAACUCCUCUUCUUCUUCUCCUCCUCCUCUCCCCCCUUUCUCUCCCUCUACCUCCCCCUCUCUCUCCCUCUCUCUCUCGCUCUCACUCUGCAGUCUGCCGCGAGGCUGUCCGUCUUUCACUGCGGAUACCGCGAGGGGAGGCCGAGGAAGACACCGAGAGGAGGAAGAGGAGAACCGGAUGGUCGUGAGGACGGGAAGUCACGUGCCAAAGAAAUAAGUCUGAUUUGCACAGUUUAUUCCUCACGGGCCGGGAGGGACAGAUGGGACUGGAGGUGGGACUACAGGGAAAGGAGAGUGAGCAGUCACGCCGCAUGACGACGCACUGCACGCCUGUAUAGAACAAACAGGCAAAGAAAUCCGUACCAGACCGGGAUGUGUGUAGCAAAUCACACGCUACAUGACAUGCAUCUGACGGGGAACAAGAGGAAUUUGUUACGCUCUAACACUUGAGAAAAGAUGGGAAGGAGAUGGAAGGAGGAGGAAAGAACACAAAUCUGAGAGAGGGAAUUGCCUAUUUUUUCAUCACAGAUUAUUUUAGGGGGUGAAUGCCAUUCCUGAGUUGACUAAAAACGAGCCAAACAAAAUAUGGAAUAUUCUGAAUUUACGAACUGCAUUGUGGUAGGAAAAAAAAAGCAGAAACAUGUGUGUCGCCCCCCCCCAUCACCCAGUCGCUGUUUGUUCCUUAAUGCAGCAGCUGGUAUUAGUCUCUCAAAAGGCCCGGCUGUGUCUGCCAUCCUACUUGCCUCACAUAUUCUUUUCUACGGCUUAUCAGUCGGAAAGCCAGGGGAGCUGUCCAGUCUCAUUCUCUCACUGGAGAGCACAUGUCAGGACCUAUUUGCCACUGGUUACUUUGAGAGUGACAUCAGCGAUGACCCCUUGACCCCGGCUGACGGAGAAAUGCUUCUGCAAUAGUUUUCCAUUACAGAGGCGAGAGAGCGCGGACACCAGACGGAUAUGUGAAAUGAGAAAAUAGGAAAACUGGAAAAGGCAUUUAGACCUGUAUUUGACCUAUCAUGUUUCGGCUUUCUGCGGCAGGCUUUUAUGAAAUGAGUAUUUGACCCAUUAACAAAUCCUUUGUCGUUUCUCUCGGAUGUUUUCCACGACCGCCAUGCGACGGCUAUUACAGAGGACAAAGCAGGGGUCAUCACAACGACACACAUAGCAGCGAUUCACUCGGCUUUCUCUUUUUUUUAGUGUCUUGAUGACGUGUAUCUGCUUGUCAGUCUGGCUAUGUGAGGAUCAGCCUCAGACGUAUCUGUAGAGUCUCGUAUUAAGGGACAAAUUGUUGCGACUGAGCUUUCGACAUGCCUCUCAACAGGUUGGAGACCAGCGUUUUUAUAUAGAUCUGAGCUGAGCUGAGUGGACGGCGAUGUUUGUUCAUCCAGGGGCACGCUGCUGCAGAUUGCCAUUGCAGCUUUUCAGUGCAACAAUGACUGUCGUCACACCAGCCGAAUCCCUUAUAGAUUUCAUUAUCUGAAAUAGAAGCAGUGAGGAUGAAAAGCACCUGUGAACAGAAUGUAACAGAAGCGUGAUAUCUCAGUAUUGAUCAUAUAUUAGCCUUUUUUAUUAUAAAUACAGCCAAAUAAUGUUGUUUUAAUAUUCGCUACAUUAAACUUGUCCUUCUAUUAAAACACCAGUUUGCCAUUUUUCUAAACGCAUUCAUCCGCUGUCUUCCAGAGAGUGAAAUGAUUACUAUCAGAUUAACAUCACUCUUGUGUCCGUACACAACAGCCCUAUUCUAAGUUUAGCAUUAUUAUUGGUUAAUGUUGAAAAAUCCGAUAUCGUGAAUCAAUGGUUCUGUUUUCUCUUUAUUUUUGGAUAAAAACGCUAUAGAAAAAUGACCUUACAGUUGUUUACUUGCUGGAAUGUACCUUUUAGGAACCUUUUAUUUUAGCUUAUUCCAUUUGUGGUGAAGACAUGUCACAUGUCACUAAUCAAUACGAAAUGUAUAAUCCCUGUAGGAGUUUGUGCUGCAUUUUCUUGUGUCAGAGUAACUGCCACCAAAGAGAACAACAUUCCCUCUGGUUGUGCUGACUAUGCAAAGCACAGAUUAUACGACACAUCAGCUCAACCAUCAGAUCCCUGGUUUUGACACAG
ensembl:lncRNA